rnacentral:rRNA from 1 species
GAUGAACGCUGGCGGCGUGCCUAAUACAUGCAAGUCGAGCGAACAGACGAGGAGCUUGCUCCUCUGACGUUAGCGGCGGACGGGUGAGUAACACGUGGAUAACCUACCUAUAAGACUGGGAUAACUUCGGGAAACCGGAGCUAAUACCGGAUAAUAUAUUGAACCGCAUGGUUCAAUAGUGAAAGACGGUUUUGCUGUCACUUAUAGAUGGAUCCGCGCCGCAUUAGCUAGUUGGUAAGGUAACGGCUUACCAAGGCGACGAUGCGUAGCCGACCUGAGAGGGUGGUCGGCCACACUGGAACUGAGACACGGUCCAGACUCCUACGGGAGGCGGCAGUAGGGAAUCUUCCGCAAUGGGCGAAAGCCUGACGGAGCAACGCCGCGUGAGUGAUGAAGGUCUUCGGAUCGUAAAACUCUGUUAUUAGGGAAGAACAAAUGUGUAAGUAACUAUGCACGUCUUGACGGUACCUAAUCAGAAAGCCACGGCUAACUACGUG